rnacentral:rRNA from 1 species
GAUGAACGCUAGCGGCAGGCCUAAUACAUGCAAGUCGAACGGUGUCUUCGGACAUAGUGGCGCACGGGUGCGUAACACGUAUGCAACCUACCUUACAUUGGGGGAUAGCCUUUCGAAAGGGAGAUUAAUACCGCAUAAGACAGUAACUAGGCAUCUAGUAGCUGUUAAAGAUUUAUCGAUGUAAGCUGGGCAUGCGUCCAAUUAGUUAGUUGGCGAGGUAAUGGCUGACCAAGACGAUGAUUGGUAGGGGAACUGAGAGGUCAAUCCCCCACACUGGCACUGGGAUACGGGCCAGACUCCUACGGGAGGCAGCAGUAGGGAAUAUUGGGCAAUGGGCGCAAGCCUGACCCAGCCAUGCCGCGUGCAGGAAGAAGGCGUUAUGCGUUGUAAACUGCUUUUAUACAGGAAGAAACGACCCUUGCGAGGGGCAUUGACGGUACUGUAUGAAUAAGCACCGGCUAACUCCGUGCCAGCAGCCGCAGUAACAC